CCCUUAGAUGUUCGGGGCCGCACGCGCGCUACACUGAAGGAAUCAGCACGUCUUUCUCCUUGUCCGAAAGGACUGGGUAACCCGCUGAACCUCCUUCGUGCUAGGGAUUGGGGCUUGUAAUUCUUCCCCAUGAACGAGGAAUUCCCAGUAAGCGCGAGUCAUAAGCUCGCGUUGAUUACGUCCCUGCCCUUUGUACACACCGCCCGUCGCUCCUACCGAUUGAAUGAUCCGAUGAAUAUCAUGGAUUGAGGAUGCAAGUAGGUUCGCCUAUCUUCAUCUUCGAGAAGUGAAGUAAAUCUUAUCAUUUAGAGGAAGGAGAAGUCGUAACA
rnacentral:rRNA from 1 species